ensembl:lncRNA
GCGGGCUUCCCUGGAGCAGGUUUUUUCCCCCCACCUACCAGCUCCAUUCAUACAAACACCCCCCAGCAAACCUCCUCCCGCUGAGGAACGCCCCAGCUGGGCAGGGGCAGCGGCAGCCGCCCCGUCGCUGCGCUCCCACCCCCGGUAUGCUCGGGGCGGGGGGUUCCCCCCGAGGGGCAGGAGCGGCGGCGGGUGCCGGUCCCGUCCCCCCUCCCCGCCGGGGCUGAGGAAGCGGAGGGAGCCGUGGAGUUGCUGUGCAUAUUAAUGAGCCGGCAGCAAGGGCAGCGGGAGCUGUUUUAAAAGAGGACAAGGGAAGGCAAGCGGCAGAGCGCAGGCAGCGCGCAGGCAGAGCGCAGGCAGCGCGCGAAGCGCCAGGGCAGCAGCAGCAGCACCGCCGGGAGCCGCGCUCUGUUCUCCCCUCCCUGGUGAAUUCCAGCCUCAAGGACGGGGGAAUCGGGGGGACGAACGCGGAGCCAGUAAAGGCAGGAGAACCCGCGGCGUCUCUUUAGGUACCUGCUGCCUCACCAUGAAGCUCCUGACAGCAGCGCUGCUUCUGCUGUUCAUCGUGAUGUGCUUGGCCAGCGCAGAAGGCGUGAAGUGCAAGUGUUCAAGGAAAGGUCCUAAAAUAAGAUUCUCUAAUGUAAGGAAGCUGGAAAUAAAACCGAGGUACCCAUUCUGCGUGGAAGAGAUGAUUAUCGUGACUCUGUGGACACGGGUGAGGGGCGAGCAGCAGCACUGCUUAAACCCCAAACGCCAAAACACAGUGAGACUGCUCAAGUGGUACAGAGUAUGGAAAGAGAAAGGCAGGGUUUAUGAAGAAUAAGAGGAAGCGGCAUGAAGAACAGAGCAGACUCCCUUGGCUGGCAUAGGACUGGGCUCUGCAGAAGAUUAUUUCUCUCUCACAGACAUAAGACACAAUCUAUAUUAUUAUAAAGCACUUUUUACCAAGGGUCAGUUUUUACAUUUUAUAGCCACAUGCAAAAGGCUUCCAGAUUCCACAUGCAUCUGUUGCACUUCAGAUUUCAUACCCGUCUGCUCUGUACUGAGAUUGGGGAAACUCAUGCUUUUCAUUUUAAAGAGGUUGGAUUUGGAUUUGUUGGGGUUUUUUUUAUUGUUAUUCAUUCAUACUUCACUAUGAUUGCAAUCGAGCUUUAUAAGCUCAUUAAACAAACAGUAAUGUUUGUAAAGGUGUUAUACAGCCAUGUCCCUCACCCUUUCGCAGUGGGAAAGCUUCGGUGCUGUGGUUCUUUGUCAUGUUUGCAGCCUCCAAUUUAGUCAGGCAAAGCAGGGACCAAAGAUGAGCUUGCUGGGGAAGAUGCCACUGGAAUGUCAUGGCUGUAACAGCAGAAGUGAGGUCCCUCAGCCCAUCGUCAAUGAGUGUGAACAUCACUUGUGCACCUCUUCUUCAAUGGACUUGAGGUCUUGCUGCAAGGUGAAGCAUACCAGAUCUCCUAUCUAAUGUUCCAUGCAUUAGAAAGCAUUUCUAGGUCAUUUUUAUUACUAAGCAAAUGUUUAUUUUGUUUUUCGUUUUUGGUUUUUUGGGGGUUUUUUUUUUCCAACUGAAGCUCUUACAGAAAGUUUGUGGCUUCAUUACUGAGACAUUUUAAGCUUCAAGACUAUCGUGUAUGAUUUCCUAGAUUUGUAGCAAUGAAAAAAAGCCUUUAAAAGGUACCUUUUUAUGAAAAAAAUAUGAUAGGGCAAACAUAUAAAUACCUAUGUUUUAGUCACAACAUAUUCAUUAUUUUGAAUGUAAUACUUCAAUGUUAAGCAGUGCAUUCCUCUUUCUAAAAUAACAAAACUACCUUUUCAUUUGUAAAUAUACUCUAGGAAGUCUCCCUGUAUUAUCUCGCUGUAUAAUGUACUGUACCGCUAAAUUAUCAUAUGCUAUUUAAAUGGUUGAAAUAUUUAGAAGGUUGCAUGCAGAUUUCAUAUUUCUUUCUAAGACAAAUGAAAAAAAGAAAUAAAAAAUGUAUUUAAAACCA